GAAUGGAGCGUCAUAGAGGGUGAGAAUCCCGUCUUUAACACGGACUCCCAGGGCUUUGUGAUGCGCUCUCAAAGAGUCGAGUUGUUUGGGAAUGCAGCUCUAAAUGGGUGGUAAAUUCCAUCUAAAGCUAAAUAUUGGCGAGAGACCGAUAGCGAACAAGUACCGUGAGGGAAAGAUGAAAAGAACUUUGGAAAGAGAGUUAAACAGUACGUGAAAUUGUUGAAAGGGAAACGCUUGAAGUCAGUCGCGUUGGCCAGGGAUCAACCUUGCUUUUGCUUGGUGUACUUCCUGGUUAACGGGUCAGCAUCAAUUUUGACCAGUGGAGAAAGGUCAGGGGAAUGUGGCAUCUUCGGAUGUGUUAUAGCCUCUGGUCAUAUACAUUGUUUGGGAUUGAGGAACUCAGCACGCCGCAAGGCCGGGUUUUACCACGUUCGUGCUUAGGAUGCUGGCAUAAUGGCUUUAAUCGAGCCGUCUUGAAACACGGACCAAGGAGUCUAACAUGCCUGCGAGUGUUUGGGUGGAAAACCCAUGUGCGUAAUGAAAGUGAAAGUUGGGAUCCCUGUCGUGGGGAGCACCGACGCCCGGACCAGACCUUCUGUGACGGAUCCGCGGUAGAGCAUGUAUGUUGGGACCCGAAAGAUGGUGAACUAUGCCUGA
rnacentral:rRNA from 2 species